CGGGGGGGGGGGGGCCUAUACAUGCAAGUCGAGCGAAUGGAUUAAGAGCUUGCUCUUAUGAAGUUAGCGGCGGACGGGGGAGUAACACGUGGGUAACCUGCCCAUAAGACUGGGAUAACUCCGGGAAACCGGGGCUAAUACCGGAUAACAUUUUGAACCGCAUGGUUCGAAAUUGAAAGGCGGCUUCGGCUGUCACUUGUGGAUGGACCCGCGUCGCAUUAGCUAGUUGGUGAGGUAACGGCUCACCAAGGCAACGAUGCGUAACCGACCUGAGAGGGUGAUCGGCCACACUGGGACUGAGACACGGCCCACACUCCUACGGGAGGCAGCAGUAGGGAAUCUUCCGCAAUGGACGAAAGUCUGACGGACCAACGCCGCGUGAGUGAUGAAGGCUUUCGGGUCGUAAAACUCUGUUGUUAGGGAAGAACAAGUGCUAGUUGAAUAAGCUGGCACCUUGACGGUACCUAACCAGAAAGCCACGGCUAACUACGUGCCAGCAGCCGCGGUAAUACGUAGGUGGCAAGCGUUAUCCGGAAUUAUUGGGCGUAAAGCGCGCGCAGGUGGUUUCUUAAGUCUGAUGUGAAAGCCCACGGCUCAACCGUGGAGGGUCAUUGGAAACUGGGAGACUUGAGUGCAGAAGAGGAAAGUGGAAUUCCAUGUGUAGCGGUGAAAUGCGUAGAGAUAUGGAGGAACACCAGUGGCGAAUGCGACUUUCUGGUCUGUAACUGACACUGACGCGCGAAAGCGUGGGGAGCAAACAGGAUUAUAUACCCUGCUAGUCCACGCCCGUAGACGAUGAGUGCUAAGUGUUAGAGGGUUUCCGCCCUUUAUGCUGAAGUUAACGCAUUAAGCACUCCCGCCCUG
rnacentral:rRNA from 1 species